UGCCAGACUCCUACGGGAGGCAGCAGUGGGGAAUAUUGCACAAUGGGGGAAACCCUGAUGCAGCGACGCCGCGUGAGCGAUGAAGUAUUUCGGUAUGUAAAGCUCUAUCAGCAGGGAAGAAAAUGACGGUACCUGACUAAGAAGCCCCGGCUAACUACGUGCCAGCAGCCGCGGUAAUACGUAGGGGGCAAGCGUUAUCCGGAUUUACUGGGUGUAAAGGGAGCGUAGACGGCAAGGCAAGUCUGGAGUGAAAGCCCGUGGCCCAACCACGGGACUGCUUUGGAAACUGUGUUGCUGGAGUGCAGGAGGGGUAAGCGGAAUUCCUAGUGUAGCGGUGAAAUGCGUAGAUAUUAGGAGGAACACCGGUGGCGAAGGCGGCUUACUGGACUGUAACUGACGUUGAGGCUCGAAGGCGUGGGGAGCAAACAGGAUUAGAUACCCCGGUAC
rnacentral:rRNA from 1 species